GGAAUUUGUGUGCAAGCAGAAAUAACACAUGGCCUGUUACAUAUGAGAGCAGCAGAUUGAACAGAAGAGUUCACAGUGGCUCUGAAGCUUUCCUAAUAACAGCUUUGAGUGGAAAGAAUUACCAACAUAAGUCAAGCCAUGAAAAAACUCAUCCAUGUCCAAUUGUCCAAAGUAAAUGGAUGGAACUGGAGAACAUCAUUUUCAGUGAAGUUAGCCCGGCACAGAAGGCCGA